rnacentral:lncRNA from 1 species
GUAAAAUGAUAGAUGUUCCUCCAUAUCCUAGUAUUCGUUAUACGUCUCGUGGAUUCGAGGCAUUUAGAGAGAGGGAAGAAGAGAAGUCAGCAUGGGAUUAUAGCAUUAACGAAGACAAAGCAGAAGACAUAAAUGCUGAAGCGGAAGCUUUCAUUAAGUCGAUGCACCGUAAAUUUGAAGUUGCCAAACUGAUGUCCAGCAAGUCUUUUUAUUGAAUAAUGAGUCAUGUGCGCUCUCUCUCU